rnacentral:piRNA from 1 species
CNGACUGCCUAUGAAGUCAGAGAUGGAACC